rnacentral:rRNA from 1 species
GGGGGUUCGCCUCCAGCCCCGGUACCCUAGCGAUUUCCGAUCGGCGCACUUCUCACCCUUAUAUAUGGACGUCGUAUACGCUCGGGCAUCUUGCUAAAGAAACGAGCCGGUGGAGUGCUGAAUAAAUACCUUUGGUUUUUUUUCGGCCUGCUUUUUUCGGGCAAGUGUGUUUACGAGCGGUUCGAGGGCGGCUAAUAGCCCCCGUUCCCAGGUGGUUCGUAACGGCGACUUUCGCCCUGAUAGUACUGAAAGGGACUCUGUUCUUUUCGGGAAAUGCGAACUUCGCCGAACGUAAYUGCCGAUUGGGGACUGCGACGAGUAGAUCGGUAACCCAUCCGACCCGUCUUGAAACACGGACCAAGGAGUCUAACAUGUAUGCGAGUCAGUGAGUCUCGAUAAAGCUCACAGGCGAAAUGAAAGUAUUUCAGCCGUGAUCCAUAACGAAGAAAUUCAAAUAUGUGCGCAACGGCGGCCGGCUAGAGGGUUUUUUAACUGAAUCUAGUCGAGUCUGAGCAUACACGUUGGGACCCGAAAGAUGGUGACCUAUGCCUGGGCAGGAUGAAGUCGGGGGAAACCCUGAUGGAGGUCUGCAGCGGUUCUGACGUGCAAAUCGAUCGUCUGAUCUGCGUAUAGUGGCGAAAGACCCAUCGAACC